UACGUAGGGUGCGAGCGUGUCCGGAAUUAUUGGGCGUAAAGAGCUCGUAGGCGGUUUGUCGCGUCUGCUGUGAAAACCCGAGGCUCAACCUCCAGCCUGCAGUGGGUACGGGCAGACUAGAGUGCGGUAGGGGAGAUUGGAAUUCCUGGUGUAGCGGUGGAAUGCGCAGAUAUCAGGAGGAACACCGAUGGCGAAGGCAGAUCUCUGGGCCGUAACUGACGCUGAGGAGCGAAAGCGUGGGGAGCGAACAGG
rnacentral:rRNA from 1 species